UACGUAGGGGGCGAGCGUUGUCCGGAAUUACUGGGCGUAAAGGGCGUCUAGGUGGCACGAUGCGUCGGGAGUGAAAUACGUGGGCUCAACCCGCGGCACGCUUUCGAAACGGUCGAGCUAGAGGGCCGGAGAGGGAAGCGGAAUUGCCGGUGUAGCGGUGAAAUGCGUAGAGAUCGGCAGGAACACCAGUGGCGAAGGCGGCUUCCUGGACGGUACCUGACACUGAAGCGCGAAAGCGUGGGGAGCGAACGGG
rnacentral:rRNA from 1 species